rnacentral:rRNA from 1 species
AAAUUGAAGAGUUUGAUCAUGGCUCAGAUUGAACGCUGGCGGCAGGCCUAACACAUGCAAGUCGAACGGUAACAGGAAGCAGCUUGCUGCUUCGCUGACGAGUGGCGGACGGGUGAGUAAUGUCUGGGAAACUGCCUGAUGGAGGGGGAUAACUACUGGAAACGGUGGCUAAUACCGCAUAACGUCGCAAGACCAAAGAGGGGGACCUUCGGGCCUCUUGCCAUCAGAUGUGCCCAGAUGGGAUUAGCUAGUUGGUGAGGUAACGGCUCACCAAGUCGACGAUCCCUAGCUGGUCUGAGAGGAUGACCAGCCACACUGGAACUGAGACACGGUCCAGACUCCUACGGGAGGCAGCAGUGGGGAAUAUUGCACAAUGG